GACGAACGCUGGCGGCGUGGAUUAGGCAUGCAAGUCGAACGGUAUCAUCCUUUCGGGGGUGAGAGAGUGGCGAACUGGUGAGUAACACGUAGGUUAUCUACCCUCAAGACGGGGACAACCCAGGGAAACUUGGGCUAAUACCGGAUGUGAGCAACUUUUAGUUGUUUGAAAGGUGGCGUAAGCUGUCGCUUGGGGAUGAGCCUGCGUCCUAUUAGUUAGUUGGUGAGGUAACGGCUCACCUAGGCAAUGAUAGGUAGGCGGCCUUAACGGGUGGUCGCCCACACUGGGAUUGAGAUACGGCCCAGACUCCUACGGGAGGCAGCAGUCGAGAAUAGUCUACAAUGGUCGGAAGACUGAUAGUGCGACGCCGCGUGAACGAUGAAUCCCUUCGGGGUGUAAAGUUCUUUUAUAUGUGAGCAGUGCUUCUUAUAUUAACAGUAGUGGGGAGAGAAGAUAUUAGCAUAUGAAUAAGCAACGGCUAACUCCGUGCCAGCAGCCGCGGUAAACUCGU
rnacentral:rRNA from 1 species